AUUGAACGCUGGCGGCAGGCUUAACACAUGCAAGUCGAGCGGGGGAGGUUGCUUCGGUAACUGACCUAGCGGCGGACGGGUGAGUAAUGCUUAGGAAUCUGCCUAUUAGUGGGGGACAACAUUCCGAAAGGGAUGCUAAUACCGCAUACGUCCUACGGGGGAAAGCAGGGGAUCUUCGGACCUUGCGCUAAUAGAUGAGCCUAAGUCGGAUUAGCUAGUUGGUGGGGUAAAGGCCUACCAAGGCGGCGAUCUGUAGCGGGUCUGAGAGGAUGAUCCGCCACACUGGGACUGAGACACGGCCCAGACUCCUACGGGAGGCAGCAGUGGGGAAUAUUGGACAAUGGGGGGAACCCUGAUCCAGCCAUGCCGCGUGUGUGAAGAAGGCCUUUUGGUUGUAAAGCACUUUAAGCGAGGAGGAGGCUCCUUUAGUUAAUACCUAAAGAGAGUGGACGUUACUCGCAGAAUAAGCACCGGCUAACUCUGUGCCAGCCGCCGCAGUAACAC
rnacentral:rRNA from 1 species